CGAACCGGGAAGAGCCCAGC
rnacentral:snRNA from 1 species